rnacentral:rRNA from 1 species
GACGAACGCUGGUGGCGUGCUUAACACAUGCAAGUCGAACGGAAAGGCCUCUUUCGGGGGGUACUCGAGUGGCGAACGGGUGAGUAACACGUGAGUAACCUGCCCUUGACUUUGGGAUAACUUCAGGAAACUGGGGCUAAUACCGGAUAGGAGCUCCUGCUGCAUGGUGGGGGUUGGAAAGUUUCGGCGGUUGGGGAUGGACUCGCGGCUUAUCAGCUUGUUGGUGGGGUAGUGGCUUACCAAGGCUUUGACGGGUAGCCGGCCUGAGAGGGUGACCGGCCACAUUGGGACUGAGAUACGGCCCAGACUCCAACGGGAGGCAGCAGUGGGGAAUAUUGCACAAUGGGUGGAAGCCUGAUGCAGCAACGCCGUGUGCGGGAUGACGGCCUUCGGGUUGUAAACCGCUUUCGCUCAUGACGAAGCUUUGUGUGACGGUAGUGGGUAAAGAAGCACCGGCUAACUACGUG